rnacentral:ribozyme from 1 species
AAAAAAAAAGAAAAUUUUUUUUUUUUUUUUUUAAUAAUUAAAUUAAGAUGAUAUUAA